GGUGUUGUGCCGGAAUUAAACGGAAUGCGAUGAUGGUGCAUAAUAUGUAAUGUCAGUUACCUUCACCU
rnacentral:tRNA from 1 species